CCUACGGUGUGCAGCAGUAGGGAAUCUUCCACAAUGGACGAAAGUCUGAUGGAGCAACGCCGCGUGAGUGAAGCAGGGUUUCGGCUCGUAAAGCUCUGUUGGUAGUGAAGAAAGAUAGAGGUAGUAACUGGCCUUUAUUUGACGGUAAUUACUUAGAAAGUCACGGCUAACUACGUGCCAGCAGCCGCGGUAAUACGUAGGUGGCAAGCGUUAUCCGGAUUUAUUGGGUUUAAAGGGUGCGUAGGCUGUGAGGUAAGUCAGCGGGGAAAUGCCCCCGCUCAACGGGGUGAAGUGCCAUUGAUACUGCCUUGCUGGAAUGCGGAUGCCGUGGGAGGAAUGUGUGGUGUAGCGGUGAAAUGCAUAGAUAUCACACAGAACACCGAUUGCGAAGGCAUCUCACGAAUCCGCGAUUGACGCUGAUGCACGAAAGCGUGGGUAUCAAACAGGAUUAGAUACCCUAGUAGUC
rnacentral:rRNA from 1 species